GAUGAACGCUGGCGGCGUGCCUAACACAUGCAAGUCGAGCGUGAUUUAUGAGGACGAAACUUCGGUCUAGGAAUCAUAAUGAAAGCGGCGGACGGGUGAGUAACGCGUAGGCAACCUGCCCUUGACACAGGGAUAGCCUCGGGAAACCGGGAUUAAAACCUGAUGACGCCAAACAGUCACAUGGCUGUUUGGCCAAAGAUUUAUCGGUCAAGGAUGGGCCUGCGUCUGAUUAGUUUGUUGGUGGGGUAACGUCCUACCAAGACGACGAUCAGUAGCCGACCUGAGAGGGUGAUCGGCCACAUUGGAACUGAGACACGGUCCAAACUCCUACGGGAGGCAGCAGUGGGGAAUAUUGCGCAAUGGGCGGAAGCCUGACGCAGCGACGCCGCGUGGGGGAUGACGGCCUUCGGGUUGUAACCCUCUUUCGACCAGGACGAAGCUUUUUGUGACGGUACUGGUAGAAGAAGCACCGGCCAACUACGUGCCAGCCGCCGCGGUAAAAC
rnacentral:rRNA from 1 species